rnacentral:rRNA from 1 species
AUUGAACGCUGGCGGCAGGCCUAACACAUGCAAGUCGAACGAGUGGCGGACGGGUGAGUAAAGUAUGGGAAACUGCCUGAUGGAGGGGGAUAACUACUGGAAACGGUAGCUAAUACCGCAUACCAUCAGAUGUGCCCAGAUGGGAUUGGCUUGUUGGGGGGGUAACGGGUCACCACGUCGCCGAUCCCUAGCUGGUCUGAGAGGAUGAACAGCGACACUGAAACGGAGACACGGUCCAGACUCCUAAGUGAGGCAGCAGUGGGGAAUAUUGCACAAUGGGCGCAAGCCUGAUGCAGCCAUGCAGCGGGUAUGAAGAAGGCCUUAGGGUUGUAAAGCACUUUCAGCGGGGAGGCGUUACCCUCAGAAGAAGCACCGGCUAACUCCGUGCCAGCCGCCGCGGUAAUUC